UACGUAGGGCGCGAGCGUUGUCCGGAAUUAUUGGGCGUAAAGAGCUCGUAGGUGGCUUGUUGCGUCUGCCGUGAAAGCCCGUGGCUUAACUACGGGUCUGCGGUGGAUACGGGCAGGCUAGAGGCUGGUAGGGGCAAGCGGAAUUCCUGGUGUAGCGGUGAAAUGCGUAGAUAUCUGGAGGAACACCGGUGGCGAAGGCGGCAUCCUGGACCGACACUGACGCUGAGGAGCGAAAGCCAGGGGAGCAAACGGG
rnacentral:rRNA from 1 species